rnacentral:miRNA from 12 species
AUAUAUAUAUGUGUGUGUGUGUGUGUGUAUAUAUACACAUAUAUAUACACAUAUAUAUACACACACAUAUAUAUACAUAUAUACACAUAUAUAUACACACACAUAUAUAUA